rnacentral:misc_RNA from 1 species
UUGUUAAACCGUAAGAGAGGAGACAUGUGCGAAUUUUUACCUUAUACCCAAUCUGCGACCAUAUCAUAGAAUAUUGUUACACAUUCAACAUGAAUGUUUAUCUGCUCUUCUCGAUAUUUGGACUGGCUGUUUGCAGAGAUAGUAAAUUGUACCUGAAACCUGCUUGGGCGGACGAACAAAAGUUCCACAGAUAUCAAGACGUCAAGAAGGCAUACGUCUUAUGCCAAAGUCACUGUCACUAAAGUGUAUGGCUACAAGAAAACGAAGAAUGGUUUCAAGUACAAGCCGCAAGAUGGGAGUAUGCAAUCCAAAUAUGCCCUCACGUUCUCUAAUUACCGGACUUGCUCAAUCUACUACGGUCCUACGCACGUCUUCUCAGGAGAUUACGAGCUAUGGGUGAGAGACUACAAAAAUAUUCCACCUUGUUGCGAAUUUCUAUUCAAAUAUUUGGCUCUGGCUAAGCGAACACGUGUAAUGUAUGAGGACAUCUGCGAUUCUGAAACUGAUGUAAAGGGAUGACAAAAAGGAUGCUUAUGACAUUUGCACGAAUACCUUGUAUAGGUUCAGCAAAUGUAAGCAUAGUCACUUCGGUGAAUUUUUUUUGGAGUGGCCUGUUGAGGAAGCAUUCGCGUAUUGAACUGAAAAAACAGUAAUAGUACUGCUACAAACGCGAAUAAAGUCUGGAAACCAAAAACA